UUGGAUGCUGAUUAUGGGUGGAUCCUG
rnacentral:piRNA from 1 species